UGUUUAAUUUUUACAGGUUAAACAGCAAAGGGAACGUUUAAGAAGAGCAAAAGAACCUAUCUUAAGUCAGGCGUUCCCGGCUAAGAUACACGGCUAUGAGUUACGCAUAAUACAGCAGCCAGAGGAGCAACAUAGAGCACGAUAUCUGACAGAGGGAAGUCGUGGGUCCGUGAAAAACAGGAGUGGGUCUGCUUAUCCACAAAUCAAGCUCUUUGGUUAUUCAGGGGAAGCAACUCUACAGAUAUUUAUUGGAAAUGAUAGUGGACGUGUGCGGCCGCAUGGUUUUUACCAGGCAUGUAAAGUUUGUGGGAAGAACUCCACCAUGUGUACGGAGAAAGACAUAGAUGGCACCACUGUCAUUGAAAUAGAACUGACUUCUGCCAAUGACAUGACAGCAUCGGUUGACUGUGUAGGAAUUCUUAAACUGAGAAAUGCAGAUGUUGAACAGAGGAUAGGAAUUGCUAAAGCGAAGAAGAAAAGUACGAAAGCUCGGAUGAUAUUCCGUAGUGACGUUUCAGAAACCAUGUGGGAACCCACAGGUUCUUCAAGUGGCAUCAUCCACCAUUC